UACGUAGGGUGCAAGCGUUAAUCGGAAUUACUGGGCGUAAAGGGCGCGUAGGCGGGAUGGCAAGUCGGUCGUGAAAUCCUUCGGCUCAACCGAAGAACGUCGAUCGAUACUGCUGUUCUUGAGGGUUGCAGAGGAGACUGGAAUUCCCGGUGUAGCGGUGAAAUGUGUAGAGAUCGGGAGGAACACCGGUGGCGAAGGCGGGUCUCUGGGCAAUUCCUGACGCUGAGGCGCGAAGGCGUGGGGAGCGAACGGG
rnacentral:rRNA from 1 species